GCUUUUGUGGAGUGCCUACAAGAAGGUCAUAACACUGCUUAGGAAGAAGGAAAACAUUAGCUAAGUAACACCAAGUGGAUUGACUAAGAGAGAAAUCUGUAAGAAAAGUAAAAGACUUCUGUCUUCCACAGAAAACCCAUGUACCUAUCAGAUUAAAAUGCAGCCUUAUUAUUUUACUUUAUUAAAUACUAAUUGAAUCAUUGUGGCAGUGGUAGUCAGAAGAAUUGUCCCCAAAAGAUAUCCACAUUCUAAAUCCUAGAACCUGUGACUAUGGUACCUUACAGGGCAAAGGAGAAUUAAGGUUACAGGUGAAUUGAGGUUGUUAAUCCGCUGAUCUUGAGAUGGAGAGAGCGUAUCCCAAGUUACUCAGGUGGGAUCAUUGUAAUCACAAGGGUCUCCGUAAACACAGGAAGAAGGCAGGAGAGUGAGAACCACAGAAAUGGCUGCAAGAAAGACUCAUUCUGUGCUUUCUAGCUUUGGCAAUGGAGAAAUAGUGUCAUGAGCCAAGGAGUGCAGGCAGCCUCUACAAAGUGGGAAAAGCUAGAAAAAAGAUUUCCCCCCAAGAACCUCCAGAAAGGAACAGAGCCCUGGCAACACCUGGAUUUUAGCCUGGCGAAACUUGUUUUAGACUUCUGAUCUUCAGAACGAUAAGUGUACUCCAGCUGUCAUUUUAAUAUGCAUCACCAUGACAACAAAUGAAGUUGAACACCUUUUCAUGUUUAUUGGUCAUUUAGAGGUCAUCUUUUAUGAAAUACCAUUUCAAGUAUUAUGAAUUGAACAGUCAGCCGAGUUAGGAGGAAACACAGAUGAAGCCCAGCAGUGGUAUGAAGAAGCCUUAUCCAUCAGCCCUACCCACAUGAAGAACAUAUACUGACUGGAUCUCUCACUCUUGGAACACUUCUUCUUGGAACUCAGCCACCAUGCUGAGAAAAGCCCAAGCCACAUGCAUGGGAAACCUGUGGCUGUUCCAGCUGACAGUCUCAGAUGAACUCACAGCCACUAGCCAGCAUCAAAUGCCAGCCAUGUGAACCAGCCAUCUUGGCCCUCUAGCACAUUUGAGCCUACACUUGAUGCAGUCAAAACUGAUACUAUGAAGUAAGAAAGCCAUGCGGCCUUAGCCCAGUCAACACCAACAUUAGUGAGAAAUAAUAAAAUAGUUGUAAUUUUAAGCCACUAAAUUUUUGAGUGGUUUGUUAUGCAACAAUAAGUAACUGAAAUAGAAGUCUUCCCUGCAUAGGUGGUAGUG